AAGACUGUGCUUCUUGGGUUCAUUCCUAUAGUUUGCGUUUGUGUUUGUGUUUGUGUUUGAAAGGGGUGGUCUCCCUGUGCACAAUGAUGAGAUAAUGCAUCCCCUUCUGAGAAUAAAGUAGAUAGAGAAUAUUGAUUUGGUCAACCGUUGUCUGUCAUUGAUGACUGUUUUGCUUCUGCCAUGUAUGCGGAGGGAAGGGCUGUGUUCAGAGUGGU